UACGGAGGGGGGCUAGCGUUGUUCGGAAUUACUGGGCGUAAAGCGCACGUAGGCGGCUUUGUAAGUUAGAGGUGAAAGCCCGGGGCUCAACUCCGGAACUGCCUUUAAGACUGCAUCGCUAGAAUUGUGGAGAGGUAAGUGGAAUUCCGAGUGUAGAGGUGAAAUUCGUAGAUAUUGGGAAGAACACCGGUGGCGAAGGCGGCGACCUGGUCCGAUACUGACGCUGAGGCGCGAAAGCGUGGGGAGCAAACAGG
rnacentral:rRNA from 1 species